rfam:Brachypodium distachyon strain Bd21 chromosome 3, whole genome shotgun sequence.
UUACAUAUAUCGGACGGGGGCUACGGGUGAUCAUGAAGGCCCAUGCCCUGGAUCAACGGCUCGCAACACUUGGCGAGAUUGUUGGUCUACCAUCUCCCCAAUGGGAGAGUGGACGUCACAAUUUUUGGUAGAGGGGGUCUGGCAAUGGGGCCCCUG